UAUGGUCAAAUCACGUUGGAACACCUAUUUUCAUACGAUCACCGAAGUUGAGCAAAGUCGAGACUGGUGAAUACCUAAAUGGGUGACCGCUUGGGAAUACCAGGUGCUGUAAG